rnacentral:lncRNA from 8 species
AUGGGGUUGAUGCAGUUCUGGAAGGUGAUGGAGGAGAGUACCUGCUCCGUUUCAGACUCCAACGGGCGGCCCCUAACUCUCAUGUCCUUGUCUCCCUCUACCUUGUCCAGGCAGUCACACAGCACUGAGCAGAAGAUACGGGGCACUUCGCCCACCUUUGGCUCCAACUCUGUCACCAGCUUCCUUGUCCUAGACAUGACAAAGAUUAUGUAUGGAGAAAAAGAGAGAGAAUGUGUGGCAAGCCCAUCUUCGACCAAAUGGGACAAAAUUGCAGACGUUUGCAAACAAAUCAAUUUCCAGACCCAGAAGUCCAUGCAUCAUCAGAAAUGGGAUAAAGGAUGGCUUAGAUGCAAAAAUGCCCUAAUUGAAAACAGUGCUCAUGAUGGAAGUCAAGUGAUCAUCCACCUCUUCUUUACUUCUCUUAUACCCCCUCCCUUUCCUCCUUUUCUCCCAUCACCACCACCCACUCUCUCCUUUUCACAUGUAAUUGCUGGUCAAGGUUUUCACUCCAUCUAUUGCCCAUCCCUUGUAAAUCUUCCCCUCUCUCUCUUCAACUCUCUCUCUCUGAACUCUCUCUGCUUUGUCUCGCUUCUCUUUGUUUAGGUGUCUCUUGGAGAGACAAAGAAUACUAAGAUACCAACUAGGAGAAGAGUAACUGGGAAUCUGAGUCCUGCAGUCAUCUCUGAGGGAACCGAAGGAAGGACUCUUACAUUUUCUUAUAUUGUCCUUGUAAAAAUUAUAAGAUAAGUUGCGAUGGUCUUGAUGACAUCACAACAACCGUGUUUGACAGUAUUGACAUGAUAUUUCAGUUUUUUUUUAAUAAAAUGGUUUUCUCUUCUAAUUCAGUCCUGAUUUUCAUGCUGAUCUCUUGAAAUUAAUCAGGGGCUGUUUCAAAUCCAACAGAUUGAACUGAAAUAUUCUGUCAGAAAUACAUCACUAUUUUACCCCAUCAAAUAUCUAGAGUUUAAUACAGGGUAGGGUUCUUUGAUUGGGUGGUCAACUGGCCACUGGUUGGCUCAAAGGCAUACCACUGCACUUUUAUUUCCCUCCUUCCCUCUUCUGUACUUUUCUAUUCAAAUGUCCAGUCUCCACUCAGACCAGAUAUUCUGAUUCUUGUCAGCAGUAUAUGGAUUAUUGUAUAUUCCUGUUCUUUCUCAAAUUAAUCAGUUUCUCUUUUAUGUUUACUUCAAGAUUGUCAGUAUAUGCAGUAUAUCUCCUGUAUGCCUCUGUCUGUGCUUGGCCCUGAUUUACAGGCUCCCAACCCUCUGAGUAAUAAGACUCCUGUUUCAUAGCAGUUGGACUCAGUUCAGUUUUUUGGUGAGCAAAGGGAGAUCUGCAAGCUCUCACAGAUUGAAUUGACAAAGCUAAAUGUGCAUUAAAGUUACUUUGGUGGGUAUUUGUACUGUAACUAAUCAAAUUCUCAUUGUCUGCCAGUGUACCAUACCAGCAGUACAGUAUAGAAUAAAGUGCUUCUCAAGAUUGGUAUAACUUCCAAGGAUUUUCUUGAUAAAAAGUCUUACCAUUUGCAUGCAAGCAUUAUAUUUGUGCUUAUUCUGCUUAAAACUGGGUUGCAUUUUAACAUAGUGUACAUUGAUGACUACAGUAUAUGCAGUGACAAAGGGAGAGACCACCCUGGGAAGAUGAUCUGGCCAGUGAGAGAGGGAGAAAGUUUGUGUUUUGCUGUCAAAGCCUUGUUAAACUGAGUAAGUGACUAAUAUAUUUCAUACUCACUGACAAUGAUGGCAAUGGGCCCAGAGUUAACAACAUGGAGGUACAUCAGUUAAUUGCAAAUUUGACUUUUUAAUCUUAGAGACUCCUCCGAGAACCAGGGCCACUCUGGGGGACACAGUCCACAGUCUCUGAAGGUGUCGCAUGCUUCAUCCACUCCUGAGAAUUGGGGAGAGAGAGAGACAUGACUCCUGAGAGUUGGGGAGAGAGAGAGAGAGAGAGACAUGGCUCCUGAGAGUUGGGGAGAGAGAGAGAGAGAGAGAGAGACAUGGCUCCUGAGAGUUGGGGAGAGAGAGAGAGAGACAUGGCUCCUGAGAGUUGGGGAGAGAGAGCGAGAGAAACAUGGUUCCUGAGAGUUGGGGAGAGAGCGAGAGAGACAUGACUCUUGAGAGUUGGGGAGAGAGCGAGAGAGAGACAUGGCUCCUGAGAGUUGGGGAGAGAGAGAGCGAGAGAGACAUGGCUCCUGAGAGUUGGGGAGAGAGAGAGCGAGAGAGACAUGGCUCCUGAGAGUUGGGGAGAGAGAGAGCGAGAGAGACAUGGCUCCUGAGAGUUGGGGAGAGAGAGAGAGAGAGAGAGAGAGAGAGAGACAUGGCUCCUGAGAGUUGGGGGGAGAGAGAGAGAGAGACAUGGCUCCUGAGAGUUGGAGAGAGAGAGAGAGAGACAUGGCUCCUGAGAGUUGGAGAGAGAGAGAGAGAGACAUGGCUCCUGAGAGUUGGAGAGAGAGAGAGAGAGAGAGACAUGGCUCCUGAGAGUUGGGGAGAGAGAGAGAGAGACAUGGCUCCUGAGAGUUGGGGAGAGAGAGAGAGAGACAUGGCUCCUGAGAGUUGGGGAGAGAGAGAGAGAGAGAGACAUGACUCCUGAGAGUUGGGGGGAGAGAGAGAGAGAGAGACAUGACUCCUGAGAGUUGGGGAGAGAGAGAGAGAGAGAGACAUGACUCCUGAGAGUUGGGGAGAGAGAGAGAGAGAGACAUGGCUCCUGAGAGUUGGGGAGAGAGAGCGAGAGAGACAUGGCUCCUGAGAGUUGGGGAGAGAGAGGGAGAUGGAGGGGUAGAGAGAGAGAGAGAGACAUGGCUCCUGAGUUUUUCUGCAAAAAAAAUAGAAUUACAGUUGGCUAAAUGUAGAUAAACUAAAAAAAAAAAUUCUCAAAAACUUAUACAGGAUACUAACCUCAACAUUAAAACCUUCAAUCCAAAAUCAAAAUUCCAUACCUAAAACCUUGAUUUGGGACAAGAUUACCUGAAUAGACUAUUACUACCAAGGACUAUCAAGGAAAAACUUCUAACAAGCCAAAACCUGCAGAAGCAACUCAGAGGAACCUGUAAACACCAUCCAACACAAAACUGAGUGAGUAAUAUUCUGAAGCUACUUCUGAAGCCAAAAAGUAAAAGACAAUCUGUAGGUCAUUUUGUUAAAUAAAGCUAAGUAAAUAAGUAUACUACGCUACCAAGCUGCUAGGACAGAACAGACCUGGUGGCACCUUCAAUUAGCACUGAUAGUCCCGUGUGGCUCAGUUGGUAGAGCAUGGUGUUUGCAACGCCAGGGUGGUGGGUUCGAUUACCACGAGGGACCAGUACGGAGAAAAAUGUAGGCAUUCACUACUGUAAGUCGCUCUGGAUAAGAG